rnacentral:lncRNA from 1 species
CCUCCUCCAACCUCGUCUCGUCGUGGCACCGACCACGGCGCUCUCGAAUCCUUCGCUCUCGUGCCGGAUUCGUGGCUGCAGUUACCCAGCUGGUGUCUAAUUGCCCGUGUGACCUCGUGCUCCUGCAGAUGGCGGUGCCGCUGCUGACGCAGAAGAUCGUGAAGAAGCGGGUCAAGCAGUUCAAGAGGCCCCACCUCGAUCGCUACAAGUGCCUCAAGGUACAUGCUGCGCCCAUUCUCAUCUUGCGCGCGUUCACUGCUGCCUUCUGCGUUGAUUCAUUUGGCGGCCUGCUAGCUAGCUAUCUUGCUUAAAGGUUUCGCUACCGGAAGAGUGGUCUUGUAGUUGACGUUAUUUAGACGUGCAUCAACUAGUUUGAAUUGCUUGGCGCGAUUUUAGUAUGGAAGUUGCUAGGAGCAGUUCGUUAGCUCGUGUUAGAUUUACAACCUUUCGCUAGCAACCUGAAAAGUAACAUUUUUUAAGCAGUGUGUUGUCGUAGAAGCUGUCUUCAUUUUAGGAAUCCUCCUUUUGUUAAUGCAAUCAUGUAAUGUAGAAAUUUUUGUUUCGUGAAAGCUGAUUGUGGUUACCAGGGAGGAAAAUACAAGUUCUCCUCAUUUUAGGAAGCCUCCUUUGGUUAAUGCAACCAUGGAACCUAGAAAUCGUUAGAAGAGACCAAAUCCCUCUUGUUUGUGAAAGCUGAUUAUGGUUACUGGGGGGAGGAAAAUAGACUUUUAAAAGUACAGAAAUGCUCUCCACGCUAUCUAUGUGCUUCAUGAAGAGGGCUGCCCUGGUGCCUGCACUGAUGUAGUGCCAUGUUUCUGUAGAUUAGGAUAACUUAAAAACUAUACUGUACCAGUGUAGCAAAUGCUGAUGACUUCAGGCCACGUUCGCCACUUGGUGAUUUAAAAAUGUGAUAUACUGUGGACACCUGCCAAAAAAAGUUUUUGGGCUGUGGAUUGAGUCUUGUAUAUGACCUCUAGCACCAAGCAUAAGUAGAUAUCCAGUAAAAAUGAUGCGCGCAGAUUUCUGGUUCAUUAGAUCUCUAUAUUUGAGUCAUCUAGCAUAGCCAUUGCUGUUGAUGAAAGUGCUAAUCUUGCCAAUACUGUUUUCUGUAGCCAAGCUGGCGCAGGCCCAAGGGUAUCGACUCCCGUGUCAGGCGGAAGUUCAAGGGAUGCACCUUGAUGCCCAACAUUGGAUAUGGCUCUGACAAGAAGACCAGGCACUACCUGCCCAACAAGUUCAAGAAGUUUGUGGUGCACAAUGUCUCUGAGCUAGAGCUGCUUAUGAUGCACAACAGGUAUGCAAUUUUUUUCAGUCUUCAGCAAACGUGUCGAGAGUACAGCAGUUUCCCAGUUUCAGUGCACCCUUUUUAUCACGAUCAUCAAUUAUUUGCUAAUAUUUGUUUUGCUACACGAACAGGACAUACUGUGCUGAAAUCGCACACAACGUGUCCACAAAGAAGCGCAAGGAGAUUGUGGAGCGGGCUGCUCAGCUUGACAUUGUCGUCACCAACAAGCUUGCCCGUCUUCGCAGUCAGGAGGAUGAGUAAACUGUUUCGGGUAGUAGUUUUGGAGUGGCUCGGCUGUAGGAGACUUUCUGUGCAUCAUGAAUCAGUUAUCCUUUCUGUUUGCUUCGUGUUUUGAGUAUCGUGAACCCACUUGCUAUCAGUGGCGACUUAACUGUGGCAAUGUUAUGAUUAUCACCUACCAUAUGAAUACAGCAGUUUUGAUAUCAAUUAUUGUUGGAUUGUUCAUGUCUAUUUAUUCUGUUGGCGUCCAGCUGCCAGGGACCGCAGCCUGUUUUUGCGUCUGCUAAAUUUUGUUCUUGCUGCCAAUGAUGCUCAGGUUCCUACUGCAUCUUGCAUCGUGCAAACUGAAAAUCGGUGUCUGAGAAAUCUAGUUGAUUCUGGACAUAUGUUUGUGUUUUAGCAAGUAGAAUAUGAACCGGUAUGCUACUUGAUCUGAGACUGAGCUUUGCUGCUGAAAUAUUAGAACCGACGCCUAUGUUGCUGUACGUGGACCGGAGAAGCCCACGACAGAGCAACACAACAAAAGCCGAUGGCGAGCCGACGACGGCCUGCAAUCCCCUCCUCACUCAACGGAGGAUCGCAAUAUCUUACGGCCCACCUUAGAAUCAGUCGCGGAUCACGCGAAGGAAGGGCCGCCUAGGGUGGAAGCGGCCCAGAAGGUCCGAGCCCACCACACCUAGGGUUCUCUCGGAGCAAUAAGACCCUCUCCUCUCCUCUCACACCCGCCGCCCGCCGCCGCUCUCGCUCGCACCGUCGCAUCUCCGCAGGGUUCGCAAAGGUACCUCCUCCAACCUCGUCUCGUCGUGGCACCGACCACGGCGCUCUCGAAUCCUUCGCUCUCGUGCCGGAUUCGUGGCUGCAGUUACCCAGCUGGUGUCUAUUUGCCCGUGUGACCUCGUGCUCCUGCAGAUGGCGGUGCCGCUGCUGACGCAGAAGAUCGUGAAGAAGCGGGUCAAGCACUUCAAGAGGCCCCACCUCGACCGCUACAAGUGCCUCAAGGUACACGCUGCGCCCAUUCCCUUGUUGCGCGAAGCGCUUGAUCACCGAGCAUCUGCUGCACCCUUCGUUAAUCCACUGGCCGCCUUCUAACUAGCUUGCUUUAGGUUCACCACUGGAAGAGUGGUCAUGUUGUUCACGUUGUUUAGAAGUGUAUAUUCUAAUUUGAAUUGCUUGGCCAGAUUUUUGUAUGGAAGUUGCUAGUACCAGACUACCAGUUCGUUAGCUUGCGUUACAGUUACAAUCUUUCACUAGCAAUCUAAAUUGUAAACUUGGUUUUUGAAGCAGUGUAUUACCAUGGAAGCUUUCCUCAUUUUAGGAGCCCUCCUUUGGUUAAUGCAAUUUAGAAGUUGUUAACAGAGACCAG